UUGCCUUAGAGUGACAUGGAUCAGUCAGUGC
rnacentral:piRNA from 1 species